rnacentral:lncRNA from 1 species
GGGGAGACGAGCUCCGGAGUCGGAAGAGCUGGGUUUUCUUCCGGGCCUAGCCACCAGUUGGCGGAGUGACCUUAGGCGAGUCACUCUGUAAUUUGUCUGCGCCUCAGUUUCCUCCUCUGCCUAUCAAUGUGUGUGGGGUUGAAAUCGCUUUGUAAACUAUAAAGCGUGGGUGUACGUAAAGGAUGGUUAUUGUUUAUAAUUUUUUUUGAGUUGUAAGAAAACUUAGCAGUUCCCCAAUCCUUGGGUUUUGAACCUGGGAACCUUGGAUUGGAGUUGGGGAUCCCCAAACUUCCUGAAAUUGUGGGAAUGUGCGGUUUGGGGGAAUGAUGGGAAUUUGUGGGAAUGUGCGUUUUAGGGGAAUGAUGAUCCAUCGCUAGCAAGUUUUCCAAGGGGGCUGUGACCCAGAAGAGUUAAGAAUCACAAUUUCUUCAUGCUACAGAGAGGAAACUGAGGCCUAGAUGUCAUUUGGGACCCUUCACAACCAUUUUGAAGCCCUGUUUGAGUCCCUGGGAUAUGUGAGCUGUUUCUAUGCAUAAUGGAUAUUCGGGGUUAACAACAGUCCCCUGCUUGGCUUCUAUUCUGAAUCCUUUUCUUUCACCAUGGGGUGCCUGAAGGGUGGCUGAUGCAUAUGGUACAAUGGCACCCAGUGUAAAGCAGCUACAAUUAGGAGUGGAUGUGUUCUGUAGCAUCCUAUUUAAAUAAGCCUAUUUUAUCCUUUGGCCCGUCAACUCUGUUAUCUGCUGCUUGUACUGGUGCCUGUACUUUUCUGACUCUCAUUGACCAUAUUCCACGACCAUGGUUGUCAUCCAUUACUUGAUCCUACUUUACAUGUCUAGGCUGUGUGGUUGGUGGUGAAUAGGCUUCUUUUUACAUGGUGCUGCCAGCCCAGCUAAUUAAUGGUGCACGUGGACUUUUAGCAAGCGGGCUCACUGGAAGAGACUGAACCUGGCAUGGAAUUCCUGAAGAUGUUUGGGGUUUUUUUCUUUCUUAAUCGAAAGUUAACAUUGUCUGAAAAGUUUUGUUAGAACUACUGCGGAACCUCAAAAUCAGUAGAUUUGGAAGUGAUUCAAAGCUAAACUUUUUCCUUGGCCCUCCUUGUGUUCUAAUUGCUUGCAAGUGUAAUACUAGGAUGUCCAAGAUGCCAGUUUUUGCUUCUUUGUUAGUUGUCAGCUGCUUUUAUCAAAUUUCAGGCCAUUAUCCAACAAACACUAUAAAAAUGUUUGAACAAUUGGAUUUCAAACAUUUUCGUUUUGUGGAGUGGUGCUCACCAAGUGGUACAGCCCUAAGCAAGUGAACACAAACACAUUUAAGUGUAUUUUGUCUGAUUAGAUGUUAGCCAGUUAUGCUAUUUCAUUCAAAUGUCUGAAAAAAUCAAUUGACUAUUCCCUUUUCCUAAAGGGCAGAGACAGAUAAUCUCACUUCCAGAGAAAUGACUUGGAGAAAAAAAAGUGUUGGUCUUUUUGCUCUUUUGUAAUUAAAUCCGGAUGUACCUCAAAAGACUUAAGACUGUGGUGAUAAGAUGCUUUCCUCAGCAGAAAGGAGGGAAAAAAAACAACUGGAACUCAAAGCUUGAAAUUCUGUGGCAAAACAUGAGAUGUCCAGGAUUGGAGGUUGAAAAGAUUUCACUACAGUGUUCUGCAAUAGUUGGAGCAGAUAACUUUCAGUGUAGCCACAGCCAUGGACUCCAGAUUUCCAGAUUUUCAAGACCUGGACCUGGAACCCGAAAGAGCUUGUCACGAUGCGGCAGGAACACUGGAGGUAGAUUUUUUUUUAUUUUUGAAUUUUGGGACUGUUGACCUUGCUGUGAGAAAAGAGACAACGACUGAGCAAGCACUACCACCAGCACUGUUACUGGGAAUUAGAAGACCUGAGUUUCUGUCCAGACCCUCAGUGCAAACUGAGGAUGCUCCAUCCAAAGUGAAUUAUGCCUACAGACCUGGUACCUGGAUUUUUGCCCGAGAUGAUUCCUACCACCUUACUACUGACGAAGACACCCAUUCCAGUGGACCACUGUGACCCAGGAGGCAUUCAGCCAUCAUGAUGUGGCCUUUACCUCCACUCCUGUCUUGUUCUACCCAGAUUCAGCACAGCCCUUUAUAGUGAAGUCAGAGUCCUCAAGCCAAAUAGCUAAAGCUGUUUUAUCACAACAAAGGCCUAGUUUGUUCCAUGAGUGUGCAUUUCAUUUCUUCAGUUAAAGCCUUCAGAGACACACAAUAAAUUUGGACCAGGGGAUUUUUUAGUUAUUAAUGCUCUCUGAAGAAAGGCAACAUCUUUUUGAGAGCAGCAUUGGACCACACCCCACAAUCUCAAAUGAUUGAAAUUCAUGAACAUCUAGGAUCCCGUGAAGGUCACUGGACCCUGUUUUUUCUACUUCAAAUCCUGUAGUAGCCUACUGAAUGAGAAAACAUAUUCUGACCCAUUGGGAUCAAAUCAAAGGCACAGUGAACUCCUCAUAGCAUCUUCUUUGGAAUUACUCAGGAACCAGAACUUUUUACACAAAUGUAAGAAAUUCUACCAAGGAGUCCCCUUACCUAACAGCAUCUCACAAGGCUGCACCAGAUUCCAGAAAAGGCUUCUCUUGAUACAUCAAGCAUUUUGUGACCGACUUAUUCUUAGAUCAUUGGUUUUCCAAAGGCUUUGUGGCCAUGAAGCCCUUUGAGUGAAAACUGUGCAGAAGCCCAGAGUAAAAGUGAAGCUGCUCUGGAUGAAGUAGUGAAGCAAGAGUAGGGGCCUGAAUCCUGCUACAACUAUCUUCCUUUACCACCGUGGUGACACCUAAGGGGACUUCCUUACAACACCUUGAACUCUUCCGAACACAGUUUGAAAACCACUGCCCCAGACAGCAAUAUGUUUGACCUGAAUGGCAUUCCAAUCUUUUCUGUACCUCCACUCAGCACAGUUCAUGUUCAGUAGAUGCUGAACAUUCUUAGAAAUACUGUGUGUGAACUUAGAAAAGUGCAAGAAGACAGGCAUGUCUUUGACCCCAGGAAUGAUCAUUUGCUGAAGAUGGUGUCAAGUGAACCUAGAUUAACAGCCCUCCACUCCAGAUGGAUAUCCAGUGAUUCCUAGAAUGGGAUAUAGCCAGAGAACAAUUCUAUGCACCCUACACUGACAGACUCCCUUAAGCAACACCAGAUGCUCUACUGGUACUUGAAGUACAUGACUUUGAAGUCUUGACCCUCCAUGAAUACCUGAAUUAUCAGCAAGCGGGUUUUGAAGCUGGUGCCUCAUUGAGGCCAUAUUAGAGCAACUUGUACAUUUGACCUCUUGUUAUCAGCCAUGGUACUCUACUUCGUGUGCAAGAGAUAACUAUGAAAGCCAAAUUCAAAUACUGGCAACAUUUCCUAAAGGGGCUCAAUAUCUAUCAUUCGUCUUCUUUUCCAAACUACACAUCACUGUAUGACUCAACCAGUAGCAGU